rnacentral:rRNA from 1 species
GGACGAACGCUGGCGGCGUGCUUAACACAUGCAAGUCGAGCGGUAAGGCCCUUUACGGGGGUACCACGGAGCGGCGAACGGGUGAGUAACACGUGGUGACCUGCCCUUAGCUCUGGGAUAAGCCUGGGAAACUGGGUCUAAUACCGGAUAUGACUCCAUGACGCAUGUUGUGGGGUGGAAAGCCUUGUGGCGGCUAGGGAUGGGCCCGCGGCCUAUCAGCUUGUUGGU